rnacentral:rRNA from 1 species
GACGAACGCUGGCGGCGUGCUUAACACAUGCAAGUCGAACGGAAAGGCCCUGCUUUUGUGGGGUGCUCGAGUGGCGAACGGGUGAGUAACACGUGAGUAACCUGCCCUUGACUUUGGGAUAACUUCAGGAAACUGGGGCUAAUACCGGAUAGGAGCUCCUGCUGCAUGGUGGGGGUUGGAAAGUUUCGGCGGUUGGGGAUGGACUCGCGGCUUAUCAGCUUGUUGGUGGGGUAGUGGCUUACCAAGGCUUUGACGGGUAGCCGGCCUGAGAGGGUGACCGGCCACAUUGGGACUGAGAUACGGCCCAGACUCCUACGGGAGGCAGCAGUGGGGAAUAUUGCACAAUGGGCGGAAGCCUGAUGCAGCAACGCCGCGUGCGGGAUGACGGCCUUCGGGUUGUAAACCGCUUUCGCCUGUGACGAAGCGUGAGUGACGGUAAUGGGUAAAGAAGCACCGGCUAACUACGUGCCAGCAGCCGCGGUGAUACGUAGGGUGCGAGCGUUGUCCGGAUUUAUUGGGCGUAAAGGGCUCGUAGGUGGUUGAUCGCGUCGGAAGUGUAAUCUUGGGGCUUAACCCUGAGCGUGCUUUCGAUACGGGUUGACUUGAGGAAGGUAGGGGAGAAUGGAAUUCCUGGUGGAGCGGUGGAAUGCGCAGAUAUCAGGAGGAACACCAGUGGCGAAGGCGGUUCUCUGGGCCUUUCCUGACGCUGAGGAGCGAAAGCGUGGGGAGCGAACAGGCUUAGAUACCCUGGUAGUCCACGCUGUAAACGGUGGGUACUAGGUGUGGGGUCCAUUCCACGGGUUCCGUGCCGUAGCUAACGCUUUAAGUACCCCGCCUGGGGAGUACGGCCGCAAGGCUAAAACUCAAAGGAAUUGACGGGGCCCCGCACAAGCGGCGGAGCAUGCGGAUUAAUUCGAUGCAACGCGUAGAACCUUACCUGGGUUUGACAUGGAUCGGGAGUGCUCAGAGAUGGGUGUGCCUCUUAUGGGGUCGGUUCACAGGUGGUGCAUGGCUGUCGUCAGCUCGUGUCGUGAGAUGUUGGGUUAAGUCCCGCAACGAGCGCAACCCUUGUUCACUGUUGCCAGCACGUUAUGGUGGGGACUCAGUGGAGACCGCCGGGGUCAACUCGGAGGAAGGUGGGGAUGACGUCAAGUCAUCAUGCCCCUUAUGUCCAGGGCUUCACGCAUGCUACAAUGGCUGGUACAGAGAGUGGCGAGCCUGUGAGGGUGAGCGAAUCUCGGAAAGCCGGUCUCAGUUCGGAUUGGGGUCUGCAACUCGACCUCAUGAAGUCGGAGUCGCUAGUAAUCGCAGAUCAGCAACGCUGCGGUGAAUACGUUCCCGGGGCU